UAGGAGAUGGCCGAGUGGUUAUGGCGUGUGACUCAAGCGUAAGCUUCAACCUAAACAGGUUGCGCAUUCUCAUGGGCUUUGCCCGCGGGGGUUCGAAUCCCCCUCUCAUCA